rnacentral:lncRNA from 1 species
UCUGCGACUGACCAAAAGUACUUCUUGAUGAAACAGCAUAUAUUUUUUUUAAAAUAACUUUAAAAAAAAAAUAUUUUUGACCUCCGAAAAACUUUGCCAAACAUUCUCUAAAUAUUUAGGACUAUGUACCUUUUCUGCAAUGAGUAAUGACUGAAGUUUGACUCCAUUAAAAGGAAGGGAAAAGGGCCAAGUUUCAAAUUCCAAGUUUGACCCAAUACCAUGAAAAAUUGAGCAACUUUGUUUUUGUUAAACUUUUGAUCUAUAAGUCAAUUGUUAGGAAAAGUUCUUAUUU